CCGUACAAUCAAAGUAAAUCAGCGUGCAACACAUGGACAGUUCAUUUAUGGCGAUAGUAAUAUUACUAUAUAUAAUACCUUCUACUUUCAGUUUUUGAACCCUCUGCAAUAAUGGCGAUGCUUCUACGAUUUCUUAAUGCAACGGGGCAACCCUUCAAAUCAAUCAGGUCCAACAUAUCAAGUAAAAUGAUUUCUUGGGGGCAUUUAUAGUUACUUGGUCAAAUUCGACAAAUUCAUAGUCCGGAGGCAAUGCUUAAUGUGGUUGAAUUUUGAACAUCUCCAGGCUUUUUAGUGGAUCAGAGAGGAUGGUCAUUUCAAUUUUUUCUUAAAAGAAUACAUAAAAUUGAAAAUGGUGGCUCAAGAUUAUUACUAGCCAAUAGGGGGUAAAGAUGUGGCUAUUUAUAGUGAACUGGUCUGAUCUUGCAAUUUUUAUUGCAAAGAACUUUAGUCGUGUUUCAUGACUGCCACAAUUUGCCCAGCAGAUUUUUUUUUGGUUAUUUAAAUGGGUAUACUUUCAGCUGUUUGUCAGUGCUUUCUUGUGACUAUCAGAAGUUUUUGGUCUCUGCAAGAGCAGCGGUUUGCUUCGGUCUACAAUUCUGUCAGCUCAGUUGUUGCAUUAUUGUUGCAGUAUGUUUUACCACACAGGAUGUCCCGAAGGAGUCGUGCCUAAUUACUAUCAAAGUCAUUAUGUUCCACAUCUAGUUAAAAUUACGACAGUAACCAGUCAACUCUGUGUGGCUGACCAGUUUGUUUGUUUGGAGGCCAAAGCAUGUCAAUAUUCAAAGGUGGUAACAUGGUUCAUCAGGGCUGAACUCCUCAGAAAGCUAUUCAGUCUUGCUCUCGAGGUUAUAUUUUUCCAGUGUGCAGUCAGGACAUCAGAACUCCAUGAGACAGGUCUGGACAGACAGAAGACUGGAGAAACUGGUAGAAUGCUGAGUUUGUGCUUUGGUUUACUCACAAAUCUAACAAGAUUCGGUAUAUUUUUGUUUUAUAAUCCUGGGGAAUAUUGUUGUUGCAUAUAUAAAUUCUUUGGUAACCCAAGAUGAUGAUCCCUGAUAUAGAUCUUAUGCAAAGACAACUGAAGGAAGCAGGAAAAUGUUAUUGAGAUUACAAAUUUCUCUACUAAGAUUAAGAUACAGACAUUUGGGAUGCAGUUCAGUCGCAAUGGCCUUUCCUUAGUGAACAGAAAUGGUUCUCUUGCACAAAGUUCCACUUCAAUGGAAACUGAAGGAUAUAUGCAUUAUGAACAAGAUGGACAUUUAUUUAGCUGACGUAUUUAGGAGGGAAGUUUACAUUUUUUAAAAAUGUAUGACAAUCAAUAUUUUGGGUCUGGUUUUUUACAGUGAAAACUAUUUCCCACCAUUUCAUGUCAAUAAAACCAACUUGAAGUAGUUGAUGAGCCUAUUAAAUUGAUCAUAUGGACACAUCUUUCCUCUAUAAUAUAGCAGUGAAGGAUUUAAAUAAAGGUUGUGCAUUUUAAUUUUU